rnacentral:pre_miRNA from 1 species
UAAUUACUCCCUCCGUCCGGAAAUACUUGUCAUCAAAAUAGAUAAAAGGGGAUGUAUUUAGAUGUAUUUUAGUUCUAGAUACAUCUCUUUUUAUCCAUUUUGAUGACAAGUAUUUUCGGACGGAGGGAGUAUGUA